GAUGAACGCUGGCGGCGUGCCUAAUACAUGCAAGUCGAGCGAACAGACGAGGAGCUUGCUCCUUCGACGUUAGCGGCGGACGGGUGAGUAACACGUAGGUAACCUACCUAUAAGACUGGGAUAACUUCGGGAAACCGGAGCUAAUACCGGAUAAUAUUUCGAACCGCAUGGUUCGAUAGUGAAAGAUGGCUUUGCUAUCACUUAUAGAUGGACCUGCGCCGUAUUAGCUAGUUGGUAAGGUAACGGCUUACCAAGGCAACGAUACGUAGCCGACCUGAGAGGGUGAUCGGCCACACUGGAACUGAGACACGGUUCAGACUCCUACGGGAGGCAGCAGUAGGGAAUCUUCCGCAAUGGGCGAAAGCCUGACGGAGCAACGCCGCGUGAGUGAUGAAGGUCUUCGGAUCGUAAAACUCUGUUAUUAGGGAAGAACAAACGUGUAAGUAACUGUGCACGUCUUGACGGUACCUAAUCAGAAAGCCACGGCUAACUACGUG
rnacentral:rRNA from 1 species